UUCCUUCCUGUGAACUCCCACAAUUCUCCUUCAAAACCAACCCCAUGCCCUUGGCCAGAGCACUCCUGUCAUCUCAGAUCCAGCCAUCACUCAGAUGCCGGGGGGUGAUUCUACAAAGAUAUGUCUCCCGACAAACUGAAAUGAGGCAAAAACAGGAACUGGCAGAGACAUCACUGCCUCACAAUAGAACAAGAUGUUUUUAAAAUGCUGAUUAUUUUGGAAAAUCUGGACAGAUCUUUGCAACGUCUUCAAAGUUUCCAUCCUGGAGUCAGUGUGUAAAUAUAAAAGGGCUCUGAGGUUGGGACACGCAGGGCGUUCACAGCCACCGAGCUAAGAAACCAGUCCUGUAACCUCAAGCAGGGAGUGGUGUCACUGUGCCGUCGGCGGGACCUGUUGGAGCAGACAGGGAACAUGGCGACACCAAGGACCACAGGAGGCAGGGCAGCUCCUGGGCUGGGCUGGCAGCAAGGUGCACUGGUGGCCAGCGAACCUCACCGGGGCUGCUGGGCUCACGGCAGCAAACUCGGGCGUUCUCCUUGCUGAAAAUGAAGGCAGCCCAAGCUGCCCUGAAUGUCCAGUCUGUCCUGCUAGGGACGCAUCCUGAGCAACAACUAAAGAUUGUGACCUGAGACAGGAACCAAACUCAUCCAGCGGCAAAAG